UUUCCGUAGGUGAACCUGCGGAAGGAUCAUCACUGCAUUGUCCGCCUUUGCCCCCAUGUGGCCGUAUGCUGAGCGGGCGUGAGCCCGCGUCAUCCUCUUAUUCACGCCGCGUCGCAUCUGAGAGACACACACACUAAACAGACACAACUUUUAACAACGGAUCUCUUGGUUCUC
rnacentral:misc_RNA from 1 species